rnacentral:tRNA from 2 species
AGGCGCGUAGCUCAGGGGGAGAGCACUACCUUGACACGGUAGGGGUCGGCGGUUCGAAACCGCCCGUGCCUA